CGAGAGUGUAAUUUUUUCUUGGUGGGGUUUCAAUGGACAUAAAUAUCCAGUGUCCGAUGAAGCUGUUGCCGAACAAGACAGCUCCAAGUGUAGUUCCUUGUCGUGAAUUUGCAUCCACUCGUUUUUUCCACUUUUUGCACUUCCAUGCGUUGAUUUGAAACCCUAAAAGAAUGUUCAAAGAGAAGAUAAAAUUAAAGUGGAAUUGCAAAAAGUGGAGGAUUGAGUGAAUGCAAAUUCAUAAAACAACAGCAAAGUAAAAGAAAGCAGCUUUUAAACCUCUUCUUUUCCCGAACAUUGAUAUACAAAACAUGGAUAGACACAAACCUCUGAAGUUUACAUAUGGUUGAAGGAGAAGCCUUGUUGUUUGUCGGUUCAUUUUCGUAGCAGCUCAAUGAAAAUACUGGGGAAAAAACAAAAGAAAUCUCAU